rnacentral:rRNA from 1 species
UACGUAGGGGGCAAGCGUUGUCCGGAAUCAUUGGGCGUAAAGCGCGCGUAGGCGGCCCGGUAAGUCCGCUGUAAAAGUCCAGGGCUCAACCCUGGAAAGCCGGUGGAUACUGUCGGGCUAGAGUCCGGAAGAGGCGAGUGGAAUUCCUGGUGUAGCGGUGGAAUGCGCAGAUAUCAGGAGGAACACCGAUGGCGAAGGCAGCUCGCUGGGACGGUACUGACGCUAAGGCGCGAAAGCGUGGGGAGCGAACAGG